GGGGAAUAUUGCACAAUGGGCGAAAGCCUGAUGCAGCGACGCCGCGUGAGUGAUGAAGGUUUUCGGAUCGUAAAACUCGGUUGUAAGGGAAGAACCAGUACGUCAGGCAAUGGACGUACCUUGACGGUACCUUAUUAGAAAGCCACGGCUAACUACGUGCCAGCAGCCGCGGUAAUACGUAGGUGGCAAGCGUUGUCCGGAAUUAUUGGGCGUAAAGAGCUCGUAGGCGGUUAUUCGCGUCUGCUGUGAAAACUCGAGGCUCAACCUCGGGCUUGCAGUGGGUACGGGCUGACUAGAGUGCGGUAGGGGUGACUGGAAUUCCUGGUGUAGCGGUGGAAUGCGCAGAUAUCAGGAGGAACACCGAUGGCGAAGGCAGGUCACUGGGCCGCAACUGACGCUGAGGAGCGAAAGCAUGGGGAGCGAACA
rnacentral:rRNA from 1 species